AGAGCGAACGCUGGCGGCAGGCUUAACACAUGCAAGUCGAGCGGGCGUAGCAAUACGUCAGCGGCAGACGGGUGAGUAACGCGUGGGAACGUACCUUUUGGUUCGGAACAACACAGGGAAACUUGUGCUAAUACCGGAUAAGCCCUUACGGGGAAAGAUUUAUCGCCGAAAGAUCGGCCCGCGUCUGAUUAGCUAGUUGGUGAGGUAACGGCUCACCAAGGCGACGAUCAGUAGCUGGUCUGAGAGGAUGAUCAGCCACAUUGGGACUGAGACACGGCCCAAACUCCUACGGGAGGCAGCAGUGGGAAUAUUGGACAAUGGGCGCAAGCCUGAUCCAGCCAUGCCGCGUGAGUGAUGAAGGCCCUAGGGUUGUAAAGCUCUUUUGUGCGGGAAGAUAAUGACGGUACCGCAAGAAUAAGCCCGGCUAACUUCGCGCCAGCAGCCGC
rnacentral:rRNA from 1 species